GAAUUAUUUGAUCAAAAUAAGGGGGAAGGUUUUUAAGUGAAAACAGAUGUAAAAUUUUAAAUAGGGGGUUGGUUUAAAAAGUUGCACAGGGGGUUUUCAGUGUUUAUAAUUAAAAAAGUUAUUGGGGGGUAACUUUAGUUAAUUUAAAACAAUAGGAGUAAAAUGAUGUGCCAGCAUUCGCGGUUACACAUCAUCCUUAAUUCUUCAAUUUUAAUUCGGAAAAUAUUAUAUAUAAGGGUUUUAUGUAUUUUAAUGGGGGUGAAAUAUAUUAAAAUUUAUUUAUAUAGAAAAUUUUCAAAAUUUUGGGUUUAAACUAGGAUUAGAUACCCUAUUAUUUGAAUUUAGUUAAUUUUUAUUUUAGGAAUUUGUUUAUACAAAAAAUUAAAUUGAUUUGGCGGUUUUUUAAUCUUUUUAGAGGAACCUGUUAAUUAAUUCGAUAAUCCACGAUUUUAUUUACCUUAAUUUUCUUGUAUAUCUCUAUAGUUGAAUAUAUUUUGAGGUUAAUUUUCUUUUUUUUACUAAAUUAUAAUUUAGGUCAAGGUGCAGUUAUUUUAAGGUUUAAAUGGGUUACAAAAAUUUUGGUUUGUAGUCAAUUAAAUUGGUUUUAGUUUUAAAUUGGAUUUAAAAGUAAAUUUUUUUAUUAAAAAAGUUGAAUAAUGCUCUGAAUUAUGUACAUAUCGCCCGUCAUUCUCAUUAAGUGAGACAAGUCGUAACAAAGUAGAUGUAUUGGAAAAUGUAUCUAGCAGAUA
rnacentral:ncRNA from 1 species